AGUUCCUAAAUUGAUAGAUAUGAA
rnacentral:siRNA from 1 species